rnacentral:misc_RNA from 1 species
AAGUCGUAACAAGGUAACCGUAGGUGAACCUGCGGUUGGAUCAUUAUAAAAUGAACCUCUUUUACUUUGUUAUAGGUUGAGUUUUUUACUGAAUUCCCUAUAACACUGUAAAAGUCAUUCACCCUUUGUGAACUGUAAUUGUUUUUCGAGUUUAGCAGUUUUUUUUUCUAUAUAGUCAUCUCACGAAGACGGUGUAGAAUUUUGAAUAAGCGACUCGGCAAAUUUUAAACCCAAUUUUUAAAUUUUUGACUGACUUUUUUUUGUUUUACAUAGUAAAAUUAUAAAAACAACUUUUGACAACGGAUCUCUUGGUUCUC